CAGUGGGGAAUAUUGGACAAUGGGCGCAAGCCUGAUCCAGCCAUGCCGCGUGAGUGAUGAAGGCCUUAGGGUUGUAAAGCUCUUUUACCAGGGAAGAUAAUGACGGUACCUGGAGAAUAAGCCCCGGCUAACUUCGUGCCAGCAGCCGCGGUAAUACGAAGGGGGCUAGCGUUGCUCGGAAUCACUGGGCGUAAAGCGCACGUAGGUGGGUCGUUAAGUCAGGGGUGAAAUCCCGGAGCUCAACUCCGGAACUGCCUUUGAUACUGGCGAUCUUGGAGUCCGGGAGAGGUGAGUGGAACUGCGAGUGUAGAGGUGAAAUUCGUAGAUAUUCGCAAGAACACCAGUGGCGAAGGCGGCUCACUGGCCCGGUACUGACACUGAGGUGCGAAAGCGUGGGGAGCAAACAGGAUUAGA
rnacentral:rRNA from 1 species